GGUUAAUACUCUUGCUGCAGAAAGAUUGUACACCCUUGCUAGUGAUUGUGCCAAUCUCAAUUUAGACACAUUACUUUUUGAUGUAUGCUGUGGGACUGGAACAAUUUGCCGUUUUGGGAAGAAACUUCUUUUCUGAUGCAACUAAUGGGGAAAUACAAAAAACACAUGAUGUUGAUUACUUUGAGCCUUUGAGUUAGAAGUUAGUUAAUUAAUGUGCCCUCACUGGUCGUGUUCGAUAGGACGGGCCAGGGAAGUGCUUUCGGUUGUUUCAAGACUGAGCUUGAUAAAACGACAGAAUCCACUAUUCCUAAGAUCAAACCAUGUAACCUUGCAAAUAUUGUACUACAGCCCAAAGCUAUUGGGAGUGGUGACAUCACAGGUUUCCAUUUUAUGAAGAAACCAUCAAGGUGAGUUUCGUACAAAUGUUUUAUUAUUAUUACUGCUCACUUGUGGUCAGAUAAAUUGAUUGCUUUCUUG
rnacentral:rRNA from 1 species